rnacentral:rRNA from 1 species
GUAACAUAUAGUUAAUGUACCUUCAAGACUGGGAUAGCCACUGGAAACGGUGAUUAAUACUAGAUAUACCUUCAUAUCAAAAGCUAUGAAGGGAAACGUUUUUUCGCUUGAAGAUCAGACUAUAUCCCAUCAGUUAGUUGGUAGGGUAAUGGCCUACCAAGGCAAUGACGGGUAGCGGGUUUGAGAGGAUGAUCCGCCACACUGGUACUGAGACACGGACCAGACUCCUACGGGAGGCAGCAGUGAGGAAUAUUGCACAAUGGGGGAAACCCUGAUGCAGCAACGCCGCGUGGAGGAUGACGCAUUUCGGUGUGUAAACUCCUUUUAUGAGUCAAGAAAAUGACGGUAGCUCAUGAAUAAGCACCGGCUAACUCCGUGCCAGCAGCCGCGGUAAUACGGAGGGUGCAAGCGUUACUCGGAAUCACUGGGCGUAAAGGACGCGUAGGCGGGAUGCCAAGUCUGAUGUGAAAUCCUAUGGCUUAACCAUAGAACUGCAUUGGAAACUGGUAACCUAGAGUAUGGGAGGGGGAGAUGGAAUUAGUGGUGUAGGGGGUAAAAUCCGUAGAUAUCACUAGGAAUACCGAAAGCGAAGGCGAUCUCCUGGAACAUAACUGACGCUAAGGCGUGAAAGCGUGGGGAGCAAACGGGAUUAGAUACCCCGGUAGUCCACGCCCUAAACGAUGAACACUAGUCGUCGCUCUGCUUGUCAGGGCGGUGAUGCACUUAACAGAUUAAGUGUUCCGCCUGGGGAGUACGGUCGCAAGAUUAAAACUCAAAGGAAUAGACGGGGACCCGCACAAGUGGUGGAGCAUGUGGUUUAAUUCGAAGAUACGCGAAGAACCUUACCUAGCCUUGACAUUGAUAGAAUACCCUAGAGAUAGAGUAGUGCCUUUCGGGGAACUUGAAAACAGGUGCUGCACGGCUGUCGUCAGCUCGUGUCGUGAGAUGUUGGGUUAAGUCCCGCAACGAGCGC